GCCGUUGGGAGACUUGAUCUCUUAGUGGCGCAGUUAACGCGAUAAGUAGACCGCCUGGGGAGUACGGCCGCAAGGUUAAAACUCAAAUGAAUUGACGGGGGCCCGCACAAGCGGUGGAGCAUGUGGUUUAAUUCGACGCAACGCGAAGAACCUUACCAGGUCUUGACAUCCUAGAAACUUAGCAGAGAUGCUUUGGUGCCUUCGGGAAUCUAGUGACAGGUGCUGCAUGGCUGUCGUCAGCUCGUGUCGUGAGAUGUUGGGUUAAGUCCCGUAACGAGCGCAACCCUUGUCCUUAGUUGCCAGCACGUAAUGGUGGGAACUCUAAGGAGACUGCCGGUGACAAACCGGAGGGAGGUGGGGACGACGUCAAGUCAUCAUGGCCCUUACGACCUGGGCUACACACGUGCUACAAUGGCCAGUACAGAGGGCUGCAAGCCCGCGAGGGGGAGCUAAUCUCACAAAGCUGGUCGUAGUCCGGAUCGCAGUCUGCAACUCGACUGCGUGAAGUUGGAAUCGCUAGUAAUCGUGAAUCAGAAUGUCACGGUGAAUACGUUCCCGGGCCUUGUACACACCGCCCGUCACACCAUGGGAGUAGGUUGCAAAAGAAGUAGCUAGGCUAACCUUCGGGAGGCCGGUUACCACUUUGUGAUUUAUGACUGGGGUG
rnacentral:rRNA from 1 species